GAGCGGCGGGAGCGGGCGGAGCGAGCGGAGCCAUGUCGGGCCGGGAGGGCGGCAAGAAGAAGCCGCUGAAGCAGCCGAAGAAGCAGACGAAGGACCUGGAUGAGACGGACCUGGCAUUCAAACAAAAACAGAAGGAGGAGCAAAAGAAACUUGAGGAGAUGAAAGCAAAAGCUGCUGGAAAAGGGCCUCUGGCCAGUGGUGGAAUAAAGAAGUCUGGCAAAAAGUAGUUUGUGAUCAAACUGCAGGGUGAGAAGUGAUCAAGUUACUCAAUGGACCUGCAGACUUCAGAGAGUCUUGAAAACACUCUGUCAUUUGGGAAACAAUGUACAUUUUGUUUAGUCACAAUAAAUCCUUUUUGUUAAGAUGUGA